UUAACUCAAAAUUUGUAUGGAAUUGGAAAGUUUGCCUACGUUUGUCGCUAGGGGCGCUGUUCCAACUCCAUACAAAUUUGAGUUA
rnacentral:pre_miRNA from 1 species